rnacentral:lncRNA from 1 species
AGUAGCAAAUAAUCAUUCGAGAACUUUGAAGGCCGAAGUGGAGAAGGGUUCCAUGUGAACAGCAGUUAAACAUGGGUCAGUCAGUCCUGAGAGAUGGGUGAGUGCCGUUCCGAAGGGAUGGGCGAUGGCCUCCGUUGCCCUCGCCCCGGGGAGAGUUCUCUUUUCUUUGUGAAGGGCAGGGCGCCCUGGAAUGGGUUCGCCCUGAGAGAGGGGCACGUGCCUUGGAAAGCGUCAUGGUUCCGGCGGCAUCCGGUGAGCUCUCGCUGGCCCUUGAAAAUCCGGGGGAGAGCUUGUAAAUCUCCGGGCCGUACCCAUAUCCGCAGCAGGUCUCCAAGGUGAACAGCCUCUGGCAUGUUGGAACAAUGUAGGUAAAACAGG